AUUGACAGUAUGAGGAAUUGAGUUACAACAAAACUUCGCUUGUUUAACAUCUCACAGGUCAUUUUUUGCAAUAUGGCGUC
ensembl:ncRNA Y41E3.463 ncRNA